rnacentral:rRNA from 1 species
UUCGCCUUCAUGAAGCUGAAAUUGCUAGUAAUGGCAGGUCAGCAUACUGCCGUGAAUACGUUCCCGGGCCUUGUACACACCGCCCGUCACACCAUGGAAGUCUGCAAUGCCCGAAGCCGGUGGCCUAACCACUUAUGUGGAAGGAGCCGUCUAAGGCAGGGCAGAUGACUGGGGUGAAGUCGUAACAAGGUAGC